CCCAGGAUCCACAAGUGGCAACCGCUUUUAUUUGGCCUAAAGCGUCCGUAGCUGGUUUUGUAAAUCUUCUGUGAAAUUUCUCGGCUUAACCGAGAAGCGCGCAGGAGACACUGCAUGACUAGGGACCGGGAGGCGUGAGGAGUAUUUCGGGGGGAGCGGUAAAAUGUUAUAAUCCCCGAAGGACUACCUGUGGCGAAGGCGCCUCACGAGAACGGAUCCGACAGUGAGGGACGAAAGCUAGGGGAGCAAAACGG
rnacentral:rRNA from 1 species